rnacentral:rRNA from 1 species
GACGAACGCUGGCGGCGUGCCUAAUACAUGCAAGUCGAACGCAAAACUUUCACCGAAUGCUUGCAUUCACGAAAGUUUUGAGUGGCGAACGGGUGACUAACACGUGGGUAACCUGCCCAGAAGAGGGGGAUAACACUUGGAAACAGGUGCUAAUACCGCAUAAUAACAAAAACCGCAUGGUUUUUGUUUGAAAGAUGGCUUUGCUAUCACUUCUGGAUGGACCCGCGGCGUAUUAGCUAGUUGGUAAGGUAAAGGCUUACCAAGGCAAUGAUACGUAGCCGAACUGAGAGGUUGAUCGGCCACAUUGGGACUGAGACACGGCCCAAACUCCUACGGGAGGCAGCAGUAGGGAAUCUUCCACAAUGGACGAAAGUCUGAUGGAGCAACGCCGCGUGAGUGAAGAAGGUUUUCGGAUCGUAAAACUCUGUUGUUAGAGAAGAACGUGUGUGAGAGUAACUGCUCAUGCAGUGACGGUAUCUAACCAGAAAGCCACGGCUAACUACGUGCCAGCCGCCGCAGUAA